GGUCUUGUAUUCAUUUUGUGAUUAUAGAAUGCAAUUCUGUAGGGGUGAGCUAGCAAGGCUUCACCAAGGCCU
rnacentral:tRNA from 1 species